AUUGAGGGGGGCUGCUCCUAGUACGAGAGGACCGGAGUGGACGCAUCACUGGUGUUCGGGUUGUCAUGCCAAUGGCACUGCCCGGUAGCUAAAUGCGGAAGAGAUAAGUGCUGAAAGCAUCUAAGCACGAAACUUGCCCCGAGAUGAGUUCUCCCUGAGACCUUGAGUCUCCUGAAGGAACGUUGAAGACGACGACGUUGAUAGGUCGGGUGUGUAAGCGCAGCGAUGCGUUGAGCUAACCGAUACUAAUGAACCGUGAGGCUUAACCUUACAACGCCGAAGCUGUU
rnacentral:rRNA from 1 species